AGAUAAACUUGAGCGGUUUAACUGAAAAGACCUUUUAAAAACAUACUAGCGGGAAUUAGCAAACUAGUCUAUUAAAACAUAUCUACUAAAUGUAUUAGUACAUUCUAACGGAUCAGUGUUUUUCCUUUGCCUAGUUUGCGUUUUUAUUUGCUUUAUGGUUUUUUUUCUUCUUCUCAGGAAAAUGGUGAAAAAUGUGAAAAACAAAUAAGAAUAAAAAAUAAUCACUAAAAUAAUAAACAAACAAAUAAAUAAAUAAAAGAAAACAAAUAAAAAAACGUAUAAAAUUAAAUGAAAAUAAAGUGUAUUAUUUUUCCGCUAAUUACAUUUGAAUUGAAAAACGUUUCAGAGUUAUACAUAAAUUAUUGAGAUACAAAGGAAAAUUAAAAAAAAACAUAAAAAAUAAAUAAAAUUUAAAUACAUGUUUAUAGGCAUUUUGAACUUGAGUUAUAAAUCUAAUUGAAUUAUAUUCAUAUGACUUACAACAAGUGACCAAAACAAAAUUCCAUUGUUGCAGUAUAGCUAGCCAGUGAAUGGCCUACAGAAAUAUAGAGAAUCUAAAUCUUUAAAAAAACACAAAAUAUUAAAAAUAACUGAAAAAUUCUAGUGAUAAAAAAAUAAAUAAACAAAAAUAAUAAAUUAAAACCAAACAAAAAUCAUAUCCCAACUAAAGAAAAUAACCAAAUGGAAUGAAAAUAUUGUAAAAAAAUUUAACCACAUUAAGGCAAAAAAAUUUAAAUUAUCAAAAAUUUCCCACCAACAAUAACAACACUACAAUAAUGACGAAAAUAAUUUACGAUACAACAGCGGCAAUGAAUAACAGUGACUUUGUUAAUUCAACGUACAUGUUUGCUGAGGCUACGGAUAAAACUAUUUAUGAAACUGGUUAUGAUUUUGAACAGUCCAUCUUUGGACCCAAACGUGAUUCAUUGAAAAUUGUCAUACCGGUGACCGUUAUUUAUGUUUUAAUCUUUAUAACGGGCGUUAUAGGCAAUAUCAGCACGUGUAUAGUGAUAAAAAAGAAUCGUUCAAUGCAUACGGCCACAAAUUAUUAUCUCUUUAGUUUGGCCAUUUCCGAUUUUAUGCUACUGUUAUCGGGUGUACCGCAAGAAGUCUAUAUGACUUGGUAUAAAUAUCCUUACCCUUUUGGUGAAUACUUUUGUGUGGGUCGUGGCAUAGUGGCGGAAACUUCUGCUAAUGCUACCGUCUUAACCAUAACCGCUUUCACGGUAGAACGUUAUGUGGCCAUAUGUCAUCCGUUUUUUGGUCAGGCCAUUUCGAAAUUAAGUCGUGCCAUUCGUAUAAUCAUAAUAAUUUGGUUACUCUCCAUACUUACGGCCAUACCGCAAGCUCUACAAUUUGGCAUUGUUUCUAUACAAGGUGUGGAAAAUUGUGUACUGGCUAAUGUUAUAAUUAAGCAUUCAUUUCAAUUAUCCACCUAUAUAUUCUUCUUUGCACCCAUGUCUAUAAUAUUCGUUUUGUAUCUUUUAAUCGGUGUACGUUUGUAUCGUUCAAAUGUUAUUGACGGCAGUAGCAGUGGCGGUGGUCAUAAUAAUUCAAAUUCCAAAGAUUUGCAUCGUUUUCGCAAUGAUUUGUCUAUUGGUUUGAAUAGUUCAAAUUCUCAUGUACGUCGUGGCCGCUUAGGUAUGAAAAGUACACAAAGUGAUACGAUUUUAUAUCGUUAUUCCGGGGGUACUCAAGUCAGUGCGGUGCGUGGACGCAUUAAUCAAUUUGGCACGAAGCGAGUUUUGAAAAUGCUGGUUGCCGUAGUCAUCUGUUUCUUCUUGUGUUGGGCACCAUUCCAUGCACAGCGUCUUAUAGCAGUCUAUGGUAGCAGUGGAUUAAUUGCUGGUGGAGAGGAAAAUACUGGCAUGAGUGUGGGUGAUGAUAGUGACUCUGCAAUUUUUAAUCUUUCUCUGACGACUGAACAAAUAUUUGCAGCAACAGAAAUUACAACUGAGGCAACUGCUUUAAAUUAUCUUAAUUUUAAUAGUUCCAAUAAUAAUAAACAACGUGAACAGCAUACAAAAGUCUAUACAGUAAUGACAUACAUAUCAGGUGUUUUAUAUUAUUUAUCCACCUGUAUUAAUCCAUUACUGUACAAUCUAAUGAGUAAUAAAUUUCGUCAAGCUUUUAAGCAUUUAAUAUUGUGUCCUUCCAGUCCAUACUCUUUGGUAAAAAAUCCUCAAAUGCACGCAGAUCACAAAAUUCCCAACGUAGCAUGAGUCGUAAGGCCACCACGACUCAUUCAUCAUCCAUACAUCGGGGUUCGAGUGAAUCGGAAAUGCAAUCAAAAGUCUCAUUGUUACAGACUAUUUCAAAUGAAAGAAAAUUUACUCCACAAAUGAUUCCAUAAUUUUUUAUUUAUUUA
rnacentral:misc_RNA from 1 species